rnacentral:pre_miRNA from 1 species
CAACUACUCCCUCUGUCCCAAAUUUCUUGUCUUAGAUUUGUCUAGAUAUGGAUGUAUCUAAUACUAAAAUGUGACUUGAUACAUUUGUAUCUAGACAAAUCUAAGACAAGAAUUUUGGGAUGGAGGGAGUACUUU